rnacentral:rRNA from 1 species
GUUAUAUGGUCAAGUGAAGAAGCGCAUACGGUGGAUGCCUUGGCAGUCAGAGGCGAUGAAAGACGUGGUAGCCUGCGAAAAGCUUCGGGGAGUCGGCAAACAGACUUUGAUCCGGAGAUCUCUGAAUGGGGGAACCCACCUAGGAUAACCUAGGUAUCUUGUACUGAAUCCAUAGGUGCAAGAGGCGAACCAGGGGAACUGAAACAUCUAAGUACCCUGAGGAAAAGAAAUCAACCGAGAUUCCCUUAGUAGUGGCGAGCGAACGGGGAUUAGCCCUUAAGCUUCAUUGAUUUUAGCGGAACGCUCUGGAAAGUGCGGCCAUAGUGGGUGAUAGCCCCGUACGCGAAAGGAUCUUUGAAGUGAAAUCGAGUAGGACGGAGCACGAGAAACUUUGUCUGAACAUGGGGGGACCAUCCUCCAAGGCUAAAUACUACUGACUGACCGAUAGUGAACCAGUACCGUGAGGGAAAGGCGAAAAGAACCCCGGAGAGGGGAGUGAAAUAGAACCUGAAACCGUAUGCGUACAAGCAGUGGGAGCCUACUUGUUAGGUGACUGCGUACCUUUUGUAUAAUGGGUCAGCGACUUAUAUUCAGUGGCAAGCUUAACCGUAUAGGGUAGGCGUAGCGAAAGCGAGUCUUAAUAGGGCGUUUAGUCGCUGGGUAUAGACCCGAAACCGGGCGAUCUAUCCAUGAGCAGGUUGAAGGUUAGGUAACACUGACUGGAGGACCGAACCCACUCCCGUUGAAAAGGUAGGGGAUGACUUGUGGAUCGGAGUGAAAGGCUAAUCAAGCUCGGAGAUAGCUGGUUCUCCUCGAAAGCUAUUUAGGUAGCGCCUCAUGUAUCACUCUGGGGGGUAGAGCACUGUUUCGGCUAGGGGGUCAUCCCGACUUACCAAACCGAUGCAAACUCCGAAUACCCAGAAGUGCCGAGCAUGGGAGACACACGGCGGGUGCUAACGUCCGUCGUGUGAAAAGGGAAACAACCCAGACCGCCAGCUAAGGUCCCAAAGUUGUGGUUAAGUGGUAAACGAUGUGGGAAGGCUUAGACAGCUAGGAGGUUGGCUUAGAAGCAGCCAUCCUUUAAAGAAAGCGUAAUAGCUCACUAGUCGAGUCGGCCUGCGCGGAAGAUGUAACGGGGCUCAAACCACACACCGAAGCUGCGGGUGUCACGUAAGUGACGCGGUAGAGGAGCGUUCUGUAAGCCUGUGAAGGUGAGUUGAGAAGCUUGCUGGAGGUAUCAGAAGUGCGAAUGCUGACAUGAGUAACGACAAUGGGUGUGAAAAACACCCACGCCGAAAGACCAAGGGUUCCUGCGCAACGUUAAUCGACGCAGGGUUAGUCGGUUCCUAAGGCGAGGCUGAAAAGCGUAGUCGAUGGGAAACAGGUUAAUAUUCCUGUACUUCUGGUUACUGCGAUGGAGGGACGGAGAAGGCUAGGCCAGCUUGGCGUUGGUUGUCCAAGUUUAAGGUGGUAGGCUGAAAUCUUAGGUAAAUCCGGGGUUUCAAGGCCGAGAGCUGAUGACGAGUCGUCUUUUAGAUGACGAAGUGGUUGAUGCCAUGCUUCCAAGAAAAGCUUCUAAGCUUCAGGUAACCAGGAACCGUACCCCAAACCGACACAGGUGGUCGGGUAGAGAAUACCAAGGCGCUUGAGAGAACUCGGGUGAAGGAACUAGGCAAAAUGGCACCGUAACUUCGGGAGAAGGUGCGCCGGCUAGGGUGAAGGAUUUACUCCGUAAGCUCUGGCUGGUCGAAGAUACCAGGCCGCUGCGACUGUUUAUUAAAAACACAGCACUCUGCAAACACGAAAGUGGACGUAUAGGGUGUGACGCCUGCCCGGUGCCGGAAGGUUAAUUGAUGGGGUUAGCGCAAGCGAAGCUCUUGAUCGAAGCCCCGGUAAACGGCGGCCGUAACUAUAACGGUCCUAAGGUAGCGAAAUUCCUUGUCGGGUAAGUUCCGACCUGCACGAAUGGCGUAACGAUGGCGGCGCUGUCUCCACCCGAGACUCAGUGAAAUUGAAAUCGCUGUGAAGAUGCAGUGUAUCCGCGGCUAGACGGAAAGACCCCGUGAACCUUUACUGUAGCUUUGCACUGGACUUUGAGCCUGCUUGUGUAGGAUAGGUGGGAGGCUUUGAAGCGUGGACGCCAGUUCGCGUGGAGCCAUCCUUGAAAUACCACCCUGGCAUGCUUGAGGUUCUAACUCUGGUCCGUGAUCCGGAUCGAGGACAGUGUAUGGUGGGCAGUUUGACUGGGGCGGUCUCCUCCUAAAGAGUAACGGAGGAGUACGAAGGUGCGCUCAGACCGGUCGGAAAUCGGUCGCAGAGUAUAAAGGCAAAAGCGCGCUUGACUGCGAGACAGACACGUCGAGCAGGUACGAAAGUAGGUCUUAGUGAUCCGGUGGUUCUGUAUGGAAGGGCCAUCGCUCAACGGAUAAAAGGUACUCCGGGGAUAACAGGCUGAUACCGCCCAAGAGUUCAUAUCGACGGCGGUGUUUGGCACCUCGAUGUCGGCUCAUCACAUCCUGGGGCUGAAGCCGGUCCCAAGGGUAUGGCUGUUCGCCAUUUAAAGUGGUACGCGAGCUGGGUUUAGAACGUCGUGAGACAGUUCGGUCCCUAUCUGCCGUGGACGUUUGAGAUUUGAGAGGGGCUGCUCCUAGUACGAGAGGACCGGAGUGGACGAACCUCUGGUGUUCCGGUUGUCACGCCAGUGGCAUUGCCGGGUAGCUAUGUUCGGAAAAGAUAACCGCUGAAAGCAUCUAAGCGGGAAACUUGCCUCAAGAUGAGAUCUCACUGGGAACUUGAUUCCCCUGAAGGGCCGUCGAAGACUACGACGUUGAUAGGCUGGGUGUGUAAGCGUUGUGAGGCGUUGAGCUAACCAGUACUAAUUGCCCGUGAGGCUUGACCAUAUAACACCCAAACA